UUUUCUGUGUUGGUGUUAUGUACUAAGGUGAAUAAGAAGUUUGUGAUGUCAGAGUAACAUCACAAACAUCAUAUUCACCUGAGUACACAACACCAACACAGAAAA